GACGAACCGAGCGAACGUUGUUCGGAAUCACUGGGCUUAAAGGGCGCGUAGGCGGGUGCUCAAGUCCGGGGUGAAAUCCCACAGCUCAACUGUGGAACUGCCUCGGAUACUGGGUGUCUCGAGGGUGGCAGGGGUAUGCGGAACUAUCGGUGGAGCGGUGAAAUGCGUUGAUAUCGAUAGGAACUCCGGUGGCGAAGGCGGCAUACUGGUCUGUAACUGACGCUGAGGCGCGAAAGCGUGGGGAGCAAACAGG
rnacentral:rRNA from 1 species